rnacentral:lncRNA from 1 species
GAAGCAAUGUGUAGGGUGAUGAGGGAGGCGUGGGUUCGAAUCCCAGCUCUACCACUGCAGGCUAUCGGAUCCCAGACAGUGAACAUAGCCUGCCCGUGCCUCGGUUUUCCCACCUUCAACGUAGAGAUGAAGACAGAAGCUGCUUUGUAAGUUGUUCUGCAUGGGAAGGCUGAAGAAAUCCCACACCAUGUGGAGCCUGUCACUGAGGAAGGGCUCCGGCUGGCUUCCAUCUCUCUCCACAGCCCUGCCCACAGACAGGGAAGAGGGGUCUUGUCUCUGACAUGCUCGCUCUGCAAACCUUGUGCACAAUGGCUUUGUGGCUCUCUGUCCCACUCCCUUCCGAGGUUCUCUGGCCCGUUGGAUUUCUGGCCAGAAAUUUAAUGGCUGUCAGGAUUCUCAUCAUGACAUCACCAGACAAUGUCAGUGGGAACUCAGUGUCUAUAAAAUGAUUCAAAGUCAAUGAGAUGGAGCAUGUGAGUUUUCUCUAAUUGUGUGGUGUUUGCUCCGUAGUUCUCAUGGCCUUGAUUCAGAUAGCGACACUUUAUUGGUACCCAAUUACCUCAGAGACUCAUUAGUUCUCUCUUGGCUCUUCAUCUUACCCAGACCAAAGCUUUCCUGUAACUGAUGUUGGUUGCAUAACUCACAGCAGCGGCCUCUGAAAUGCAGAUCUGGGAAUGCAGUCUCUAGGGGGCUCCUUAGGGUCCAGGGUACUGUUCUGGACCUCUGAGAUAAGACUCACCUGUUCUCUCAGUCUUCUCUUUCACUGGUACUCACUCAUCAGCACACGUGAGAUCUGGGUGAGGGAACUCACAUCUGGAUCACAGCACUUGGAAGACUGAGCAGGUCUGCAAAGUCCUAGGCUAUCUUGGGCUACAGAAUUAGAUAGAUGGAUGGAUAGACAGAAAGACCGACAGGCAGGCAGACAGAUAUAUAUACAAGAGGAAGGAAGAGAGGGAGGGGAUAGAAGUAAUGAAUAUGGUGGUGUGAAGUAGAAAUUUCUGGUGUCUUUGGAAACUCAGUUAUGGCAUAUGAUAUUUUGCCGGGGCAGACAGGUGAAAGAAUGUUUUGCUGAAGCAGACACAAGUGAGUGGAUUAUUAUUAUUAUUAUUAUUAUUAUUAUUAUUA